UGGACCGGAGACGAGGUGUUUGGGUCAGGAGGCCUGAGCAAUGUCCCCUCCCCCUCUAGCGGUGGAACAAAAAACCUCACCCACUUGACGACCGAAGAACAUAACACUACCAGUCAAUUCUCUAGCAGGACAAAAAACUGUUUAUCAUUUUUGACAACGAAACAAUUCAGUGUCAGCAGUCCAGAACUUUCUCUCAGCUGGCCCAGCGCCGAAUCGACCCGGAAUAACUACAAAUAACCAAUGUUGAAACAAGCCGUGAGCCGCUGUAAAACAUUAAAGCAAACAACUUAACGGUUUGAUCGGUCGGUUCUUUCCUUGGACCCCUGUCUAAACGUUUAGGAUGGAUGGUUAUUUAAUAGCUUGCCAUAUUGCAAAGCUUUACAGGAAUUAUAUUAUUAUUUCCAUUUUGUUUUAGGAAAAGUUUUUAUGGUUGAAAAUGUUUGCGUUGUCAAAACACGAUAAGGUCAAAAGUUCCCUAUUAGUAGCUUUUUAUGCCGUACGCAAGCAAACAGUUCAGAAUAAUAUUUUUUUUUGUUGGGAUUUUUCUUUCCUUAACACUGUGGCAAUCUUGUUUUAUUCUGUGUGUGUUUACAGGGAAAACCUUGAACUUAAACAAAAAAACAGUGUGACAAUGUAGGAGUAUAACGCGUUUGAUUUUUUCAGUGUAGAGUACUAUCUUGUAAAAUUCUCUUUUGUCAUAAGCAAUAAUAUAUGUAUUCAUUGAACCCAAUUCUCUUUAAGCAUCCUGUUCAGUUCACGACAGCUCGUAGCACUGUGAUGGCCGAGAGAAUCUGCUAACGGUCUUAUGUAGAAACCCAAAUUCAAAUAAUGCUGCCCAUUCUCACUUCUAAAGGGUAUUUUCGUUCUUUCCAGCAUCCAUUUAUCCAUUUUAUUCAAUACGUUUCUGAUAAAUUAUUAAAUUCUGCCGUUUUCGGCUGCGUUUGAUAGUCCCGCUGGUUUCAUCCCAUCCACGAGUUUAGGCUUAGAGCUGUUCUUCCACAAGUCCGGAAUUUAAACUGUAAAAAGUUGCAAUAAAUUAUUUCUUGGUUGCACAAAGAAAGUAUUUUUGUCAUGUGUGAUUGUGUGUGUGUGUGAGUGUUUGUGAAU
ensembl:lncRNA